rnacentral:rRNA from 1 species
AGAGCACAAGGAGAAUGCCUUGGCACUAGGAGCCGAUGAAAGACGUGGUAAGCUGCGAAAAGCUUCGGGGAGGCGCAAACAGCCAUCGAUCCGGAGAUAUCUGAAUGGGGAAACCUACUUGAGCAAACCUCAAGUAUCCAUACGUGAAUCCAUAGCGUAUGGAAGGGAACGCUGUGAACUGAAACAUCUAAGUAGCAGUAGGAGGAGAAAGAAAACUCGAUUUCCUAAGUAGCGGCGAGCGAACGGGAAAGAGGCCAAACCGAAGGACCUGGUUCUUCGGGGUUGCGGACUGCAAUUAGCAUUGCUGAGAGAUAGACGAAUGGUUUUGGGAAAGCCAGCCGUAGACGGUGAAAGCCCGGUAGACGAAAUCUUGAAGCAGCGAGCAGGAUCCAGAGUACCACGAGACACGAGAAACCUUGUGGGAAGCCGGGGGGACCACCCCCCAAGCCUAAAUACUCCCUAGUGACCGAUAGUGAAGCAGUACUGUGAAGGAAAGGUGAAAAGGACCCCGGGAGGGGAGUGAAAGAGAACCUGAAACCUUGUGCUUACAAACAGUCAAAGGACGCAAGUCUGAUGGCGUACUUUUUGUAGAACGGUCCGGCGAGUUACUAAUGCCAGCGAGGUUAAGUGGUCAGAAGCCACGGAGCCGAAGGGAAACCAAGUCUGAAUAGGGCGUAGAGUUGGUAUUAGUAGACCCGAAACCGGGUGACCUAUCCAUGUCCAGGUUGAAGGAACCGUAAAAGGUUUUGGAGGACCGAACACACAUGUGUUGAAAAACGUGGUGAUGAGGUGUGGAUAGCGGAGAAAUUCCAAUCGAACUCGGAGAUAGCUGGUUCUCCUCGAAAUAGCUUUAGGGCUAGCCUCGAGCUGGAGUCUAACGGAGGUAAAGCACUGAACUGACGCGGGGCCCAAAAAGGUUACCAACUCAUAUCAAACUAAGAAUGCCGUCAAGAUACCCUCGGGAGUCAGUCUGCGUGAGAUAAGUCGCGUGGACAAAAGGGAAAGAGCCCAGACCGACAGCUAAGGUCCCAAAGUACGUGUUAAGUGGAAAAGGAUGUGGGAUUUCAUAGACAACUAGGAUGUUGGCUUAGAAGCAGCCAUACAUUUAAAGAGUGCGUAAUAGCUCACUAGUCGAGAAAACCUGCGCCGAAAAUGUAACGGGGCUAAAACACGACACCGAAGCUACGGAUUCCUUACAAAGUAAGGAGUGGUAGAGGAGCAUCCUGCAAGGACGAAGCCAAAGUGAGAGCGAUGGUGGACGAAACAGGAGAGAGAAUGCCGGAAUGAGUAGCGAGAUACAUGUGAGAAACAUGUAGGCCGAAUAUCUAAGGAUUCCUGGGUAAAGCUAAUCUUCCCAGGGUUAGUCGGGGCCUAAGGCGAGGACGAAAGUCGUAGUCGAUGGAUAACAGGUUGAUAUUCCUGUACUACACAUAAUCAGAACUGUGGGGACGCAGGAGGAUAGGGAAACCGGGGAAUGGAAAGACCCGGUCAAGCGUAAAGCUGUGGGAGAUAGGCAAAUCCGUCUCCUGUAAGUGAAACGUGAUGAGGACUGAAAAAAAGUAAGGAAGUUUCCGAAUCCACACUGCCGAGAAAAGCCGCUAUUGCGUUAUGUGUACCCGUACCGUAAACCGACACAGGUAGAUGAGGAGAAAAUCCACAGGCCGACGGGAGAAGUGUUGUUAAGGAACUCGGCAAAAUGACCCCGUAACUUCGGGAUAAGGGGAGCCUCGCAAGAGGCCGCAGAAAAGAGGCACAAGCAACUGUUUAGCAAAAACAUAGGUCUAUGCGAAACCGUAAGGUGAAGUAUAUGGGCUGACGCCUGCCCGGUGCUGGAAGGUUAAAAGGAGAGGUCAGCGCAAGCGAAGCUUUGAAUUCAAGCCCCAGUAAACGGCGGCCGUAACUAUAACGGUCCUAAGGUAGCGAAAUUCCUUGUCGGGGAAGUUCCGACCCGCACGAAAGGCGUAAUGAUUUGAGCACUGUCUCGA